AGGCGCAUAGCAAUCACGCAAUAAACGCACCAUUGCCGAUCUCAAUCGCCACCCAAAAAUGUUUAUCCACGGCCGUACCGAAUAAUAUUCAAAUUAUAAUAUUACCCCAGAGUAUUGUUAAGUUAGCGAAUUACAGUAUAAUGUAUAUUUUAUAAUCGUAACGACUAACGUUUGUAUUUGUAAUUUUACUCGUAUAAACGUACGAAUGUUUCUUUGAUCUCAUAUAGCAU